rnacentral:rRNA from 1 species
GAAUUCACUAGUGAUUCAGGCCUAACACAUGCAAGUCGAAAAGCAGCACGGGUGCUUGCACCUGGUGGCGAGUGGCGAACGGGUGAGUAAUAUAUCGGAACGUACCUUAUUGUGGGGGAUAACGCAGCGAAAGCUGUGCUAAUACCGCAUAAUCCCUAAGGGGGAAAGCGGGGGACCGUAAGGCCUCGCGCAAUUAGAGCGGCCGAUACCUGAUUAGCUAGUUGGUGAGGUAAAGGCUCACCAAGGCAACGAUCAGUAGCUGGUCUGAGAGGACGAUCAGCCACACUGGGACUGAGACACGGCCCAGACUCCUACGGGAGGCAGCAGUGGGGAAUUUUGGACAAUGGGGGCAACCCUGAUCCAGCAAGGCCGCGUGAGUGAAGAAGGCCUUCGGGUUGUAAAGCAAUUGGUCAGGGAAGAAACAGCAGCUCUAACACAGUUUGCGAAUGAC